GUGGGAGACCUGCAUAAAAGCCUCAAAACCAAGUGUUGUCUCAUUAUUGGGGGAAUUGGAUUGUAUGCUGAUUGCCAGGAGUGUAAGCUGAUUGUAUGCUUUUCCUGUUCAGCUGCUUACAGCAUUCAAAUGCUUGAGAGCAUUCGUAUGCUUCUCUGGUUUGGUGUUUGUGGUGUCUGCUGCAGUGCUUGUAGUCCUCAGGAAGCACUAGGAGCAUCCUUCAACGGAGUUACCCAGUCGGGGUGCCAGGUGAUCCGUUACAGCCUCCUUGGCUGAGAUCAUUGACAAUCUCAGCCAAUCCAAU